UAAAUGACUCUCGGCAACGGAUAUCUCGGCUCUCGCAUCGAUGAAGAACGUAGCGAAAUGCGAUACUUGGUGUGAAUUGCAGAAUCCCGUGAACCAUCGAGUCUUUGAACGCAAGUUGCGCCCGAGGCCUUUGGUCGAGGGCACGUCUGCCUGGGCGUCAUGC
rnacentral:rRNA from 2 species